UACGGAGGGGGCUAGCGGUGUUCGGAAUUACUGGGCGUAAAGCGCACGUAGGCGGCUAUCCAAGUUGGGGGUGAAAUCCCUGGGCUUAACCCAGGAACUGCCUUCAAAACUGGAUGGCUAGAGUCCGAGAGAGGUGAGUGGAAUUUCCAGUGUAGAGGUGAAAUUCGUAGAUAUUGGAAAGAACACCAGUGGCGAAGGCGGCUCACUGGCUCGGUACUGACGCUGAGGUGCGACAGCGUGGGGAGCAAACAGG
rnacentral:rRNA from 1 species